rnacentral:rRNA from 1 species
UACAGAGGUCCCGAGCGUUGUUCGGAUUCAUUGGGCGUAAAGGGUGCGUAGGUGGCAAAGUAAGUUGGAUGUGAAAUCCUGGGGCUUAACCUCAGAAUUGCAUUCAAUACUGCUUAGCUAGAGAGCUGUAGAGGAGACUGGAAUUUACGGUAUAGCAGUGAAAUGCGUAGAUAUCGUAAGGAACGCCAGUGGCGAAAGCGAGUCUCUGGGCAGCAUCUGACACUGAGGCACGAAGGCCAGGGGAGCAAACGGG